rnacentral:rRNA from 1 species
GACGAACGCUGGCGGCGUGCUUAACACAUGCAAGUCGAACGGAGAUUCAGCAAUGGAUCUUAGUGGCGAACGGGUGAGUAACGCGUAGGCAAUCUGCCUUCUAGAUGGGGACAACAUCCCGAAAGGGGUGCUAAUACCGAAUGUUGUACCGUUUCCGCAUGGAGGUGAUACUAAAGGCGGCCUCGGAAUAUUCUACCGUCAGAAGUUGAGCCUGCGUCUGAUUAGCUAGGUGGAGGGGUAACGGCCCACCAAGGAUUCGAUCAGUAGCCGGUCUGAGAGGAUGAACGGCCACACUGGGACUGAGACACGGCCCAGACUCCUACGGGAGGCAGCAGUGGGGAAUCUUCCGCAAUGGACGAAAGUCUGACGGAGCAACGCCGCGUGAGUGAAGAAGGUUUUCGGAUCGUAAAGCUCUUUCGUUAGGGACGAACGUGCUCUUUGUGAAUAAUGAGGAGUAAUGACGGUACCUAAAUAAGAAGCCACGGCUAACUACGUGCCAGCCGCCGCAGUAA